rnacentral:rRNA from 1 species
AACGAACGCUGGCGGCAGGCUUAACACAUGCAAGUCGAGCGCACCUUUCGGGGUGAGUGGCAGACGGGUGAGUAACGCGUGGGAAUCUACCCUUCUCUACGGGAUAGCUCCGGGAAACUGGAAUUAAUACCGUAUACGUCCUGAGGGAGAAAGAUUUAUCGGGGAAGGAUGAGCCCGCGUUGGAUUAGCUAGUUGGUGGGGUAAAGGCCUACCAAGGCGACGAUCCAUAGCUGGUCUAAGAGGAUGAUCAGCCACAUUGGGACUGAGACACGGCCCAAACUCCUACGGGAAGCAGCAGUGGGGAAUAUUGGACAAUGGGCGCAAGCCUGAUCCAGCCAUGCCGCGUGAGUGAUGAAGGCCCUAGGGUUGUAAAGCUCUUUCAGUGGGGACGAUAAUGACGGUACCCACAGAAGAAGCCCCGGCUAACUUCGUG